rnacentral:lncRNA from 1 species
UCUGAAGAGAGUGUUUGAGGCUGGCUACUCUCCUCAAGAGAAAAAAGGAUAAAGAGAAUGAUUCUCCUAGAAGAAAAUGUAAUUUGAAAGAUACCAGGGACACUGGGCUCUAUUCUGCAUAAGCUGUAGCAGGAUAAAGUUUCAUAAGGUAAGGGUUCAGGUUAUGUGAUUUUUCCAAGUUCUCUAAGCCUUUGGGGUAUUGUCAGAUCAUGUGUUUAAAAAGUUUUGGAGAGGAGAAAUAAAUCUUUGCAAUUCCAAUAUGUUCUUGCAGUUGCUUGUCUCCAGGAGCAGUGCUUUUUAACUGAGUGAUUUGCUCAGUGCUGUGCAUAAUCCUGCAAGACUUAAGGAAAACACCCUGGCAGGAUGGAGUGCCAUAAAGCUGGAGAAGAACCAGAGAAAAGCUGUAUUUGUUACAGCUAAAAGAAGCCUUCAGGAGCUCCCCUACAGCUUUCCUUUGAUUAUAGGAUACAUUUCAAGUGCAAU